CCCUAGUAACUGCGAGUGAAGCGGGAAAAGCUCAAAUUUGAAAUCUGGCGGUCUUUGGCCGUCCGAGUUGUAACCUGGAGGAGCGCUUUCCGCGCCGGACCGUGUACAAGUCUCCUGGAACGGAGCGUCAUAGAGGGUGAGAAUCCCGUCCAUGACACGGACGCCCGGUGCUUUGUGAUUGCGCCCCCGAAGAGUCGCGUUGUUUGGGAAUGCAGCGCAAAAUGGGUGGUAAAUUCCAUCUAAAGCUAAAUAUUGGCGAGAGACCGAUAGCGAACAAGUACCGUGAGGGAAAGAUGAAAAGCACUUUGGAAAGAGAGUUAAACAGUACGUGAAAUUGUUGAAAGGGAAACGCUUGAAGUCAGUCGCGUCGCACGGAACUCAGCCUGGCCUUGGCCUGGUGUACUUUCCGUGCGACGGGUCAACAUCAAUUUCGGGCGGCGGACAAGGGCGAGGGGAAUGUAGCGUCGCUUCGGCGGCGUGUUAUAGCCCCUUGUCGUAUACGCCGUGCGGGAUUGAGGACCGCAGCGCGCCCUUGUGGCCGGGGUUCGCCCACGUCACGCGCUUAGGAUGUUGGCAUAAUGGCUUUAAGCGACCCGUCUUGAAACACGGACCAAGGAGUCUAACAUGCUUGCGAGUGUUCGGGUGGAAAACCCUUGCGCGGAAUGAAAGUGAAAGUUGGGAGCCUCCGCGAGGGGGUGCACCGACGCCCGGCCCUGAAGUUCUCUGACGGUGCUGCGGUAGAGCAGGUGUGUUGGGACCCGAAAGAUGGUGAACUAUGCCUGAAUAGGGCGAAGCCAGAGGAAACUCUGGUGGAGGCUCGUAGCGAUUCUGACGUGCAAAUCGAUCGUCAAAUUUGGGUAUA
rnacentral:rRNA from 1 species